rnacentral:misc_RNA from 1 species
GAAAUGCGAUAAGUAAUGUGAAUUGCAGAAUUCAGUGAAUCAUCGAAUCUUUGAACGCACAUUGCGCCCGCCAGUACUCUGGCGGGCAUGCCUGUUCGAGCGUCAUUACAUCCCUCAAGCCCCAGCGGCUUGGUGUUGGGCUUCGGCCGUCCUCAGCGGCGGCCGUGCCCCAAAUACAGUGGCGGUCUCGCCCCCGGCUCCUCUGCGUAGUAGUAACAUCUCGCACUGGGACGGAGCGAAGGCCACGCCGUAAAACAACCCAACUUUCUGAAUGUUGACCUCGGAUCAGGUAGGAAUACCCGCUGAACUUAA